rnacentral:rRNA from 1 species
GAAUUGACUUCUAGAACGUAUAAUUGUCUAAAAAGGGCCAAUAUACAUACACUAUUGGACCUUUUGAGUAAGACUGAAGAAGAUCUUCUGAGAAUUGACAGUUUUCGUAUGGAAGAUAGAAAACAUAUAUGGGACACUCUAGAGAAGCAUCUCCCAAUUGAUUUACUUAAGAAUAAACUCUCGUUUUAA